UAGAAACUUAGGAUUAAUAUUAAACCAAGGGCCUUCAAAGCCCAAAAUAUGGGUAUAACACCCAUAGUUUCU
rnacentral:tRNA from 1 species